CCUACGGGAGGCAGCAGUGGGGAAUAUUGCGCAAUGGGCGAAAGCCUGACGCAGCGACGCCGCGUGAGGGAUGAAGGUCUUCGGAUCGUAAACCUCUGUCAGCAGGGAAGAACGGUCACUGUGCUAAUCAGCAGUGAAUUGACGGUACCUGCAAAGGAAGCACCGGCUAACUCCGUGCCAGCAGCCGCGGUAAUACGGAGGGUGCGAGCGUUAAGCGGAAUUACUGGGCGUAAAGCGCUCGUAGGCGGUAUGUCAAGUCAAGGGUGAAAUCCCCGCGCUCAACGUGGGAACUGCCUUUGAAACGGGCAAACUGGAGUGUGUGAGAGGAUAGUGGAAUUCCAGGUGUAGGAGUGAAAGCCGUAGAUAUCUGGAGGAACAUCAGUGGCGAAGGCGACUAUCUGGCACAUAACUGACGCUGAGGAGCGAAAGCGUGGGUAGCAAACAGGAUUAGAUACCCCGGUAGUC
rnacentral:rRNA from 1 species